GGUGCUGCAGCUGAGGAGAUGGGAGCUCAGCCUCAAAUCCAUCGCCCUGACUGACUAAAAAUGGGGUUUUAUACAACAGGCAAGAAAUGUAACAAUGUGUAGGAAACACGAACUAGGGAGGAACAAGGAGUCAUCUGGUGGCCUCAUCUGGGAGCUCAACCUCACAAGACAGACCGUCAUGUAGAGACAACUGCUACACAACAUGGGAAGAACUGCUAGAGAUGUAAAGAUGUAAAGACCCAAAAUGAAGAAGCCAGAACACAUGAACACAAAACCAGCCAACCAACAAACACAAGCAGCAUGGAGCAUAGAGUCUGGGGACCAACUGCAUGGUGCUGAGGAAUGCAGCAGUUACAAACAAACAAACUCACCAAAGAAAACACCAGACAAACAUACAUCCAAUAGUAUUGUGUCCGGAAUUGGUGGGUUCUUGGUCUCACUGACUUCAAGAAUGAAGCCACGGACCCUUGCGCUGAAGGCAAUUGAGAAAAAGAAGAUGCGAGAAGAGCUGUUUACCCUUCCUUUAUCUGCUUAAAAGCAAGGAAUAAAUUUCCAUUAUAAAGGUGUCCCCUUGUUCUCAUACCAAGAAGAGGAGACAGCAUCAAGAUUACUCUACAUAAAGAAACCCAACUAAAUAACCCUUAUCUAUAAUAGUUUCUCCCAUAUAUUUACCUUCCUACAAUUUAAUGCCCCUAGAAGCCCAAGCCCCUUUUCUUUGGUUGCUUCCCCACAAUUUAUCGUACUUUGUUAAAAUGGUAGGUAAGCUCCUAAGUGUAACCACUUCUUUGGAUUUUUUUAGUUCUUUCUCUGCAGUUCCCAUGCAUAUAAAAAUAUUAACAACAAAUAAAAUUUGUAUGCUCUUC